rnacentral:rRNA from 1 species
UAAAAAAAGGUAAGCUACUAAGAGCGAAUGGUGGAUGCCUUGACUGGUAAAGGCGAUGAAGGACGUACUAGACUGCGAUAAGCUACGGGGAGCUGUCAAGAAGCUUUGAUCCGUAGAUUUCCGAAUGGGGCAACCCAAUGUAUAGAGAUAUACAUUACCUAUAUAGGAGCGAACGAGGGGAAUUGAAACAUCUUAGUACCCUCAGGAAAAGAAAUCAAUAGAGAUUGCGUCAGUAGCGGCGAGCGAAAGCGCAAGAGGGCAAACCCAGUGCUUGCACUGGGGGUUGUAGGACUGCAAUGUGCAAGAGCUGAGUUUAGCAGAACAUUCUGGAAAGUAUAGCCAUAGAGGGUGAUAGUCCCGUAUGCGAAAAACAAAGCUUAGCUAGCAGUAUCCUGAGUAGGGCGGGACACGAGGAAUCCUGUCUGAAUCCGGGUCGACCACGAUCCAACCCUAAAUACUAAUACCAGAUCGAUAGUGCACAAGUACCGUGAGGGAAAGGUGAAAAGAACUGAGGUGAUCAGAGUGAAAUAGAACCUGAAACCAUUUGCUUACAAUCAUUCAGAGCACUAUGUAGCAAUACAGUGUGAUGGACUGCCUUUUGCAUAAUGAGCCUGCGAGUUGUGGUGUCUGGCAAGGUUAAGCAAACGCGAAGCCGUAGCGAAAGCGAGUCUGAAUAGGGCGCUUAGUCAGAUGCUGCAGACCCGAAACGAAGUGAUCUAUCCAUGAGCAAGUUGAAGCUAGUGUAAGAACUAGUGGAGGACUGAACCCAUAGGCGUUGAAAAGCCCCGGGAUGACUUGUGGAUAGGGGUGAAAGGCCAAUCAAACUUCGUGAUAGCUGGUUCUCUCCGAAAUAUAUUUAGGUAUAGCGUUGUGUCGUAAUAUAAGGGGGUAGAGCACUGAAUGGGCUAGGGCAUACACCAAUGUACCAAACCCUAUCAAACUCCGAAUACCUUAUAUGUAAUCACAGCAGUCAGGCGGCGAGUGAUAAAAUCCGUCGUCAAGAGGGAAACAACCCAGACUACCAGCUAAGGUCCCUAAAUCUUACUUAAGUGGAAAACGAUGUGAAGUUACUUAAACAACCAGGAGGUUGGCUUAGAAGCAGCCAUCCUUUAAAGAAAGCGUAAUAGCUCACUGGUCUAGUGAUUUUGCGCGGAAAAUAUAACGGGGCUAAAGUAAGUACCGAAGCUGUAGACUUGCACACAACUUAGAUUAUUUAAGUUUAGAAUAUGAGAAACUAAGUUAUAUGUUUAGUUAUAUUUUUACUGAUUUUUAUAGAGUAAAGAUAGAAAUAAAACUUAGUAAAAUCAGUAAAAAUAUUCUUAGGCUAAAGUUAAGUAGUUUAAGUUGUGUGCAAGUGGUAGGAGAGCGUUCUAUUUGCGUCGAAGGUAUACCGGUAAGGAGUGCUGGAGCGAAUAGAAGUGAGCAUGCAGGCAUGAGUAGCGAUAAUUAAUGUGAGAAUCAUUAACGCCGUAAACCCAAGGUUUCCUACGCGAUGCUCGUCAUCGUAGGGUUAGUCGGGUCCUAAGUCGAGUCCGAAAGGGGUAGACGAUGGCAAAUUGGUUAAUAUUCCAAUACCAACAUUAGUGUGCGAUGGAAGGACGCUUAGGGCUAAGGGGGCUAGCGGAUGGAAGUGCUAGUCUAAGGUUGUAGGAGGUUAUACAGGCAAAUCCGUAUAACAAUACUCCGAGAACUGAAAGGCUUUUUGAAGUCUUCGGAUGGAAAGAAGAACCCCUGAUGCCGUCGAGCCAAGAAAAGUUUCUAAGUUUAGCUAAUGUUGCCCGUACCGUAAACCGACACAGGUGGGUGGGAUGAGUAUUCUAAGGCGCGUGGAAGAACUCUCUUUAAGGAACUCUGCAAAAUAGCACCGUAUCUUCGGUAUAAGGUGUGCCUCCCUUUGUAUUAGGAUUUACUCCGAAAGCAAAGAAGGUUACAACAAAGAGUCCCUCCCGACUGUUUACCAAAAACACAGCACUCUGCUAACUCGUAAGAGGAUGUAUAGGGUGUGACGCCUGCCCGGUGCUCGAAGGUUAAUUGAUGGGGUUAGCAUUAGCGAAGCUCUUGAUCGAAGCCCGAGUAAACGGCGGCCGUAACUAUAACGGUCCUAAGGUAGCGAAAUUCCUUGUCGGUUAAAUACCGACCUGCAUGAAUGGCGUAACGAGAUGGGAGCUGUCUCAAAGAGGGAUCCAGUGAAAUUGUAGUGGAGGUGAAAAUUCCUCCUACCCGCGGCAAGACGGAGAGACCCCGUGGACCUUUACUACAGCUUGACACUGCUAUUUGGAUAAGAAUGUGCAGGAUAGGUGGGAGGCUUUGAGUAUAUGACGCCAGUUGUAUAUGAGCCAUUGUUGAGAUACCACUCUUUCUUAUUUGGGUAGCUAACCAGCUUGAGUUAUCCUCAAGUGGGACAAUGUCUGGUGGGUAGUUUGACUGGGGCGGUCGCCUCCCAAAUAAUAACGGAGGCUUACAAAGGUUGGCUCAUAGCGGUUGGAAAUCGCUAGUAGAGUAUAAAGGUAUAAGCCAGCUUAACUGCAAGACAUACAAGUCAAGCAGAGACGAAAGUCGGUCUUAGUGAUCCGGUGGUUCUGUGUGGAAGGGCCAUCGCUCAAAGGAUAAAAGGUACCCCGGGGAUAACAGGCUGAUCUCCCCCAAGAGCUCACAUCGACGGGGAGGUUUGGCACCUCGAUGUCGGCUCAUCGCAUCCUGGGGCUGGAGCAGGUCCCAAGGGUAUGGCUGUUCGCCAUUUAAAGCGGUACGCGAGCUGGGUUCAGAACGUCGUGAGACAGUUCGGUCCCUAUCUGCCGUGGGCGUAAGAAGAUUGAAGAGAUUUGACCCUAGUACGAGAGGACCGGGUUGAACAAACCACUGGUGUAGCUGUUGUUCUGCCAAGAGCAUCGCAGCGUAGCUAAGUUUGGAAAGGAUAAACGCUGAAAGCAUCUAAGCGUGAAGCCAACUCUAAGAUGAAUCUUCUCUAAGCUCUCUAGAAGACUACUAGUUUGAUAGGCUGGGUGUGUAAUGGAUGAAAGUCCUUUAGCUGACCAGUACUAAUAGAGCGUUUGGCUUAUCUUAUAAA